ACGAAUAUGACCCGGCAAAAAAUAGGCUGGGAUCAUAUUACAUUCUGAACACGCAAACAGCGUGUGGUCGUCAAGCGCAAUUCGGUUUGGCGCAAUUAGCCUUCUCCGUAUCUCUCUCUCUGAGCAUUCUCUUUUCCGGUGUCGAUCACUGAUUGGUGAUCAAAUACAUAACAAUACAUAAGUGCUUUCAAGUGUCUCCGAACUAAAUAAGUGUCAGAAUAAUUUUGGAUAACUGAAUAAAUCAAUUCUGUCUUGACCCUCAAACCGAGAGGUUCGUUUGCCAUUUUAAUUAUCGAGGAUGAUGACAACCAAAAAGGAGAUUUCUCUACAUGGCUACCAAAGUGACAGGCUACCAAAGUGAAAAAGUGUGAAAAACAGUUGUGAAGAUUUUGAAGUGAAGAUUUUGCACCAUGACGGUGACAUCGAUCUUAAUUAUAAUGCUAGCAUUAAUUUUGAUGUGCGCAACAGUGGCAUUAAUGCAGCAAAUAAUCACCGAGUGGGCUAAAGGAAUGGAAAAGGCACAAUUUGCCAUAUUAACGAACUAACUGAAGUGAAAUAAAACGGACAAGGAGCGUUAGAACAGUGUAGUUUGAGUGAAUCAGCAACAUGGGCACUACGGAGUCCAAGAACACGGAAAAUAAAGGAACAUUCACGGAAGCAAGCUUUAAAAGCUGCGAAGAGUGUGUCGGCUUUAAAUAAACUAAGUGAGGUUUAAAAAAAAAAAAAAAGUACAAACAGUGUCGAACUCGAAAAACGGUCAGUUUUUUUUUUCAGGCAUCUAUCUCGCCUCUAAGAGAUAAACAGUGGGGCAGUAGCCCAUAAUUAAGAAAGUAGCCGAAUCUAACAUGAUGAAUGAACGCGAGACCCUUGCCUAAGGCCGGCAACAGUAGCAGCGAAUAGCAGCAGAAAAGUGAAUCAUCAUUAAAAGCGAGCGUAGAGGAGUGCGCCUCCGCC